UACGGGGGGGGGCAAGCGUUGUUCGGAAUUACUGGGCGUAAAGGGCGCGUAGGCGGCCUGCUAAGUCGGAUGUGAAAUCCCUCGGCUCAACCGAGGAACUGCAUCCGAUACUGGCGGGCUUGAAUCCGGGAGAGGGAUGUGGAAUUCCAGGUGUAGCGGUGAAAUGCGUAGAUAUCUGGAGGAACACCGGUGGCGAAGGCGGCAUCCUGGACCGGUAUUGACGCUGAGGCGCGAAAGCUAGGGGAGCAAACAGGG
rnacentral:rRNA from 1 species